GUUGUUAGACACCGGCGUAAAGAGUGGUUAAGUACUAUUACUUACUAAAGCCGAACACCUUCAAAGCUGUUAUACGCACCUGAAGAUAGGAAGUUCAACCACGAAAGUGGCUUUAUAUUUACUGAACCCACGAAAGCUAGGGCACAAACUGGGAUUAGAUACCCCACUAUGCCUAGCCUUAAACAUUGAUGGCACCCUACAACUGUCAUCCGCCCGGGUACUACGAGCACCAGCUUAAAACCCAAAGGACUUGGCGGUGCUUUAGACCCACCUAGAGGAGCCUGUUCUAGAACCGAUAACCCCCGUUCAACCUCACCCUUCCUUGUUUUACCCGCCUAUAUACCACCGUCGUCAGCUUACCCUGUGAAGGUCUAAACAGUAAGCAAAAUUGGCAUAGCCCAAAACGUCAGGUCGAGGUGUAGCGUAUGGAAGGGGAAGAAAUGGGCUACAUUCCCUAAUUCAGCGCAUACGAACGACACACUGAAAUACGUAUCCGAAGGAGGAUUUAGCAGUAAGCAGAAAAUAGAGUGUUCCACUGAAACCGGCCCUGAAGCGCGCACACACCGCCCGUCACUCUCCCCGAACUUACAUUCACAAGUAAAUAAAACCCUA
rnacentral:rRNA from 1 species